rnacentral:tRNA from 1 species
GUUUUAAUAGUUUAUAAUAAAAUAAUGAUCUUGUAAAUCAUAGAUAGAAUUAAUCUUUAAAACU